rnacentral:rRNA from 1 species
UACGGGGGGGGCAAGCGUUGUUCGGAAUUACUGGGCGUAAAGGGCGCGUAGGCGGUUUGCUAAGUUGGACGUGAAAACUCUGGGCUUAACCCAGAGCCUGCAUCCAAAACUGGCAAGCUGGAGUAUUGGAGGGGGAAGCGGAAUUCCUGGUGUAGCAGUGAAAUGCGUAGAUAUCAGGAGGAACACCGGUGGCGAAGCGGCUUCCUGGACAAUAACUGACGCUGGAGGCGCGGAAAGCUAGGGGAGCAAACAGG